AUGUUCUUUCAUGCCUUAGAGAUUAAAGUACAGAUUAUUUCCACUGUACAUAUAUGUGCCAAAAUGAAUAGCCUGCAAUCACUCAAAUCGCCUUUUGUGUGGAAACAAGUCCAGAGAGAAAGGAGCCAAGAGCCUAAAAGCAAAACUGACAGUAGCGAACACCCUGGGUAUCAUUCCAAUUUAUUUCAUAAAAGGGCACAACCAAUUACUCAAUCCAGUACUCUAUAUUAUACAAUAUACAAAACACUUCUGCGUAAUUCCAGAUAUGUGCUAGGAGUUGAUCCAGAUAUUUCUGCAACAUAUAUUUCCAGAGUCUAA
rnacentral:rRNA from 1 species